UACGGAGGGGGCUAGCGUUGUUCGGAAUUACUGGGCGUAAAGCGCACGUAGGCGGCUUUGUAAGUUAGAGGUGAAAGCCCGGAGCUCGACUCCGGAAUUGCCUUUAAGACUGCAUCGCUCGAAUCAUGGAGAGGUGAGUGGAAUUCCGAGUGUAGAGGUGAAAUUCGUAGAUAUUCGGAAGAACACCAGUGGCGAAGGCGACUCACUGGACAUGUAUUGACGCUGAGGUGCGAAAGCGUGGGGAGCAAACAGG
rnacentral:rRNA from 1 species